CAAGAACGCUUGCGACAAGGCCCCUGCCGAUCAGGCUGCUGUUGUUGCAGCUGAAUGCAGCCUUUGUGAUCAGCCUCCUGGACAGCCACCAGGCUCCAACGAGAUGGCUCGGCCCAGAUCUUUCUAAAGAGUGUUUGUGUUUUAGUUGUCCACAAGGAGGGGGGGAAAGCUCUGUACAACUCUAAGAAUUCAUCUGGUCUAUGGCUGAUUAUCAAGACAAAAAUGAUGGCCAGGCAUUGUGUGAUCUUGCCAGAAUGUGCAGGUCUGUGGCGUCCCAUCUGGCUCUAGUUCUGUCUGGGGGAAAAGAGGUGGUGAAGGAAAUUUGACUUAAUGGUAGGUAUUACUUUGAGAGCUAGAAAGUUACCAUGGUCUCCUCUGCAAUGAACUGCCUAGUUUUCACCUGUUGUGAAGUUGCAAAUUCAGUUGUAUUAAAAUGCUGGGGCAUUACUCCAUUAACUUAAUGUAUUUAUUAAAUGCCUACAAAGGGUCAAGCAUGGGGCUAGGUGUUAGGGAUUGAUAAAUAAAUAUUUAUUUAAGUAUUUAUUAAGUGUCAACUCUGUGCCAAGUUCUACCCUAGGCACUGGAAGAACAAUGGCAAACUCACUCUCUAUCCUCAAGAGAUUUGCUUAAGGAUAAGCCAAAUAAACAGAUAAAUUUUUGCAAGUAUUGGAUGCUAUGGGGAUA
rnacentral:lncRNA from 1 species